AAGUGCAAGUCAUAUAAUGCUUGCAUGAGCCACAGGGACUAGUAAUAUCUCUCAAAUGUAAGCUUGGCUAUAACAUCAUGAUUUUCUCCGCUUUAUCCCACGGCUCUUCUUGGAUUUUCAAGCGGAUCAAAACCAGCUAUUGGCUUUAUAGAAUUGGGAGAUUCAGAAGGAGGUCCAUUUGGGUCACUUGCAGAUGGAUUCCCAAAGUACUGCACCGCAAUCAAACCACUCUCUGCCGUUUCUGCUGAUAAAGGAGAUCUCUGCAUGUUUACAGAAGUAACCCUUGAUGACAUUCCUUGAAAGAUUAUCACUAAACAGAAGAGGAUUGUGAACACCAUUGCAAACACGUAGCUAUUAGAUGAUGAUGAUGCCUUUGCUGCUUUCAUUUUCUUCAAGGCUCUGAUUCGCUCAACCCUUGCACGUUUCAACAUUGCAAGUUCUGUAAUCUCCUUGAUCAGCUGCUGGUCAGCAGCAUCCAAUGAUGGACCUCUUGGAGGCCUAGGAGGUUUGGAAGCCUUUUUAUUGCUCAUCAUUUUAUGCUUCUCCUUUACCACUUUCUUCUCUACGUUACCAACAGUUUUCUCUCCAUCCAAGUUCACUUGCUCUGGUGCAUCAGAACAGUAAUUUAACCCCUCUUCACCCUUCAUUGUACCAUCAACAAAGAUGCCACGAAUCUUAGCAAGCAACUCCUUCGCUUGAAUUUUUACACCAGAUAUGGAGUCUUUACUUUGAUCGUCAACACUAGCAUUCACCCCAUUUUCAAGAUCAACCUCAAGAUCUCUCUCUUUCAAAAUUAUAUGAUCCAUUUCCAGCUACCAAACCCACUCUGAUUUUUUUUUUUUUUUUUUAACUUCUCCUCCCACUCACCAAAUGACUAAAGCCCCUAUACAUUCACAAACCACUCAAAGAAUUCAAUCCACAAAGUCAACCCAUUUCAGGAAAUUGAAAUUUUACAAGACAAAUUAUAUUUUACGGCGAUAAUUACCCAUGAAGAUAUCUAACUUCAUCAAGUAAACAGCACUUUCCAGUUUGACCAUGCAAUGAAGCCUAUCUUCAAUAAUAGCAAUGCAAAAUAUUUUUCACGCCAG
rnacentral:misc_RNA from 1 species